UCGAUCCUUAUAUCGAGCGCAAAGCUUUCGACGAGACAAAAGGAGGAGUAAAAGGCCUCGUCGACGCUAAAAUCACUGAAGUUCCUCGAAUCUUCCACAUACCUCAAGAUACCUUAACAGACAAGAAACCAUCUGCCUCUGUAUUAGACCUAGAGAUCCCUACCAUCGACUUUGCAAGCGUUCACGUGGACACGGCAUCACGUGAAGCCGUCGUAGAGAAAGUCAAAUACGCGGCGGAGAAGUGGGGAUUCUUCCAGGUGGUCAAUCAUGGUGUUCCUUUAAACGUUCUUGAAGAGAUCAAAGAUGGAGUUCGCAGGUUUCACGAGGAAGAUCCUGAGGUCAAGAAACGAUACUUCUCGCGUGAUAUCGCCAAUAAAAAUUUUGUCUACAACAGUAAUUUCGAUCUAUACAGUCCUUCGCCGUCUGUUAACUGGAGAGAUACUUUCCAGUGUUACAUAGCUCCAGAUCCUCCAACUCCUGAGGAACUCCCAGUGACUUGCAGGUGACGGUAACAUACUUAACAUCUUUUUCUUCACUUAAAUAUAUUUGGAGGUCGCAAUUCACAAACCUAAUCAUCAAUCAGAGCUGCAAACUGCAAUGGCCAUAUAAAUUUCUUAGAGGCUAAGAAGGAUAUGCAUAAGUUUGUAAAGUAUUAUCAAUCGAUUUGAACGUCUAAACUUUGAAAAGAGAGUGAUUGAUUUCUAACAUCAUUGAUUGACUCAGGGAUGCUAUGUUCGAAUACUCAAAGCAUGUGCUGAGUUUAGGUGGUCUGCUCUUAGAGCUUCUCUCAGAAGCCCUAGGUUUGAAUUCUGAGAUCCUUAAGAGCAUGGAUUGCUUAAAGAAUUUGCUCAUGGUCUGCCAUUAUUACCCUCCGUGUCCACAACCAGACCUAACUUUGGGGAUAAGUAAACACUCAGACACCUCUUUCCUCACGGUUCUUCUUCAAGACAACAUCGGUGGUCUUCAAGUUCUUCAUCAAGACUCUUGGGUAGAUGUCGCUCCUCUUCCUGGAGCUCUCAUCAUCAACAUCGGAGAUUUCUUGCAGGUAAAGUAAGAUUAUGAAAUAGAUACUUAAUACAUUAAUCUAAAAUGUGUUUUUUAUUUAUAUAUAUUCCUAAUUUGAUUUCGCAGCUGAUAACGAACGAUAAGUUUGUAAGUGUGGAGCAUAGGGUGCUUGCGAAUAGACAAGGACCAAGAAUUUUUCAGUAGCAAGCUUUUUCAGCUCAAGUAAAGGGCCCGAUUCCACAGUUUAUGGACCGAUGAAAGAGCUUGUGUCUGAAAACAACCCUCCAAAAUAUAGAGACAUAACCUUGAAAGAAUACACAGAAGGAUUCAUUGAGAAAGGUCUCGAUGGAACAUCGCAUCUCUUGAAUUUCAGGAUAUGAAUUCUGUGUGUUUGUUAGCAUCAGUCACUCUGUUCUUGGCUCUUUAAUAAUAAAACCAGUGUACCUAAAGAAAAAUGUGCGUUUCUACGUAAAUGUAAUGAGCUACUCUGUAUUUGGAUCUUUCUACUUUAGCCAAUAAGUAUCCCAUUACGUAGCCAUAAGUGAAUGCAUUGCAUUGAUUUGAUCUAAAGAUUCAAAACUUUAUUUUUGCUUUCUACCUCUUCAGUUCUUGUUUGAGAUUGUGACAAGGAUGAAGUUAUUUUCGUUACCACACCAAUUUUAAUUGCUUAUUUUAUAUAUAUGCCUAUAUGGAAUGGAGAACUAACCAAAGAAAAUGUCGACUCUUACCUGGAUAGUGGAUACUAUCCCACAUCCAUAUUAAUUAAUUUAUAUGGAAUUUAAUUUUUAGAAAGUAAUGAGUUUACGCCUUACGGGUAGCUGUAAAUGACAUUUAAAAUAAUAUACAGUUAUAUUCAUUUAUGCCGAGGACAUUUUUAUAAAACAGGGGAGUAUUUUUUUUAUAUAUAUAAAAUUUUAGUUAUACCUAUUAAAAUGCAUAAGUUAUCUUUUUUUUUUAAUUUUUUAACAUCUGCCAUCUUAAUUAAAAUUAUCUUGAAAGAGUUCAACAUGACCCCAUUUAUGAUGAUCAACUAGUCGAACAAAUUCACCAUGUACAAAGAGCAAUAUUGAAAGAGUUCCAGCUUUUCUUUUGUAAAAAUAUUAGACAACACCUCUUUUGGGGAGUAGUAUUAGGUAGAACUAUAUGCAUAAUUGAGCAAUUAGUCCAUAAUAAACCAAAAUCAGAGAAGAAAAAGUUAACUACGACAAGUCGUUAAAGUGAGCGUGAGAGAAAGAGAGAGACAACGAUCAGUUACAAAGUCUACAAAAACGGACAUAUUCGGUCCCACACACCAAAGACCAAAAUUCCUACCGUCGAUUCUCUUAGUCGUCCAUUUUUGUCUUCACUUUGCUAUAUCUUCUUCUUAAGUAGAAAUCUUAUGAAAAAGAAAGCAAAAAGAAUGAAUGGUGACCUAAAACUCGAUCGAGUUCGAUCCUUAUAUCGAACGAAAGGCUUUCAGCGAGACAAAAGAAGGAGUAAAACUGUAAAAGGACUCGUCGACGCUAAAAUCACCGAAGUCCCUCGAAUCUUCCACGUCCCGAAAGAUUCCUCAACAGACAAGAAACCAUCUGUCUCUGUUUCAGACCUAGAGAUCCACAAAAAUGCACAUGCUCGGUCCCACACACUAAUGACCAAAUGCUAACCGUCGGUUCUCUUUUUGUUUUUUUAUCCACAUUUUGCUUUAUCUUCUUCAAAACAGACAUCUUGUAAGAAAACAAAAAAAAAAGAAGGAAAAAGAUGGUGACCGAAAACUCGAUCGAAUUCGAUCCUUAUGUCGAGCGCAAAGCUUUCGACGAGACAAAAGAAGGAGUCAAAGGCCUCGUCGACGCUAAAAUCACAGAGGUCCCACGAAUCUUCCACGUCCCGCAAGAUUCCGCAACAGACAAGAAACCCUCUGUUUCUGUUUCCGACCUAGAGAUCCCUACCAUCGACUUCGCAAGCGUCCACGUGGACACGGCGUCACGUGAAGCCGUCGUAGAGAAAGUCAAAUACGCGGCGGAGAAGUGGGGGUUCUUCCAGGUGAUCAAUCAUGGUGUUCCUUUACACGUUCUUGAAGAGACCAAAGAUGGAGUUCGCAGGUUUCACGAGGAAGAUCCUGAGGUCAAGAAACGAUAUUUCUCGCGUGAUUCCGCCAGUAAAAAGUUUUUCUACAACAGUAAUUUCGAUCUAUACAGUUCUUCUCCGUCUGUUAGCUGGAGAGAUACUUUCACUUGUUUCAUAGCUCCAGAACCUCCUUCUCCUGAGGAACUCCCAGUGACUUGCAGGUGACGGUAACAUACUUGACAUAUUUUUUUCUUUUUCUUAAAUAUGCCUGUGAUUUGAAAAAGGUUGUAAAGAAAUUAGUGUUUUAACCGGUUAAUUUUCUUAUGGUGUAAGCCGGAUUGGACAGUACUCUUGUAUGCAUCAAGCACAAAAUUAAUCGUUGACUAGUACUAAAUUAUUAUGUGAGUCCUUUAAAAGAUAGUGAUUUGAUUUAUAACAUCAUUGAUUGACUCAGGGAUGCUGUGAUCGAAUACUCAAAGCAUGUGAUGGUUUUAGGUGGUUUGCUCUUUGAGCUACUCUCAGAAGCCCUAGGUUUGAAUUCUGAUAUACUUAAGAGCAAGGAUUGCUUAAAGUCUUUGCUCAUGCUCGGCCAUUAUUACCCACCUUGUCCACAACCUGACCUAACUUUGGGGAUAAAUAAACACUCAGACAACUCUUUCCUCAGUGUUCUUCUUCAAGACAACAUCGGUGGUCUUCAAGUUCUUCAUCAAGACUCUUGGGUUGAUGUCGCUCCUCUUCCUGGAGCUCUCGUCAUCAAUAUCGGAGAUUUCUUGCAGGUGAAGCAAGAUUAUCAAACAGAUACCUAAUACAUUAAUCUAAAUUUAUUUAUAUAUAUGCCGAAUUUGAUUUCGCAGCUGAUAACGAACGAUAAGUUUGUAAGUGUGGAGCAUAGGGUGCUUGCGAAUAGACAAGGACCAAGGAUUUCAGUAGCAAGCUUUUUCAGCUCAAGUAAACGGCACGGUUCCACAGUUUAUGGACCGAUGAAAGAGCUUGUGUCUGAAAACAACCCUCCAAAAUACGGAGACAUAACCAUAAAAGAAUACUCAGAAGGAUACUUUAAGAAAGGUCUCGACGGAACAUCGCAUCUCUUGAAUUUCAGGAUAUAAAAUUUGUGUGUUUCUUAGCAUCAAUUACUCUGUUCUUGGCUCUGCAAUAUAUAUAUAUAUAUACAUAUAUAUUUAUUUUAUUUAGCAAAAACAAAAUAUGUAAUGUAUAUGUGCUGAGUCUGUCAUUAUGCUCGGUUUCGUCAUGCCAUUCAUAUCACCACCCAUAUAUUAUUAUAUGUAUAAGUGGAACUUUAUGAAGGUCAUUAUUAUUGGACCAAUUUAUAAAUUCUAGUUGUUGAACGAUCACCAUGUAGCUAUAUUGAAAGAGUAUCAGUUUUUAUUCUGCCCAAAAAUAUUAGAUAACACAUGUUUUGGGGAUUAGUAAUAUAGAGUAACUUCAACACAAGACUCAAAAACUUUUCAAAUAAAUGAUCAAAUCCAUUAUUUGGUAAUCCAGAAAAAUCUCCUCAGUUUGAGCACUCAAAUUACGGUAACUAAAGUGGAAUAUUCUAGGGCUAUAUGCAUAAUUAAGUAAUUAGUCCAUAAUAAACCAAAAGCAGAGAAGAAAAAUUCAACUACGACAAGUCGUUAAAAUGAGUAUGAGAGAAAGAGAGAGGCAACAUUCAUGUGAAUAUGUGAUCAUCAGUUACAAAGUCCACAAAAACGGAGAAAUUAUAUUCGGUCCCACACAUACACCAAAGACCAAAUUACUCCUACCGUCAAUUCUUAGUUUUGUCUUCCCCCUUCGCUAGUUCUUCUUCUAAGCAAAAAUCUUGUGAAAAAGGAAAGUAAAAAGAAUGGUGACCAAAAACUCGAUUGAAUUUGAUCCUUUUAUUGAACGAAAGGCUUUUGACGAGACAAAAGUAGGAGUAAAAGGGCUCGUCGACGCUAAAAUUACCGAGGUCCCACGAAUCUUCCACGUCCCGAAAGAUUCCUCAACAGACAAGAAACCAUCUGUCUCUGUUUCCGACCUAGAGAUCCCUACCAUCGACUUGGCAAGCGUCCACGUGGACACAGCGUCACGUGAAGCCGUCGUAGAGAAAGUCAGAUACGCGGCGGAGAAGUGGGGUUUCUUCCAGGUGGUCAAUCAUGGUAUUCCAUUAAACGUUCUUAAGGAG
rnacentral:lncRNA from 1 species